CACUGCAAGUUCAUACCCUUGGGCCAGCAUCUCCCCAGUUCCCCCACCUCACCCUGCCCUGACCCCCGUAACCAUCACUUGACUUUCUGUUUCUGUGCUCCCAACUCAUGAAUUCUUAAUGUAAGCGGUUUGAACAUGUUGUAAGUUUUAAAAGGAGGUCAAGUUUCACACUGUAGCUGAUGUAGAGAUGGAAACAGCCCAGUAGGACAAAAGAGCAAAAAAAUAAUGAUUUCAUUGGUUUCCGUGCCUCCACUGGAGGCCUCAUCUGCAAAGCAGAGCACUAGAAAAGCUGCCGGCUCUUUGCACCGGCAACGUCAACACUCAGAAGGUGAUGUCAGCAACAAAGGAAACUGCUGAAAUGAGCGGACAAAUGGGAUGUGGCUGCAGCUAACUGCACUAGUAAGAACGUUAGGUUUAGAGCUUAUUCUAUGGGCCACAUACAGUCAAACCUGGCAAUUGCAGCUGCUUCAAUGUAAUGGAACGUCCAGUGGGCAGCCCAGCACUCAGAACAAGGGCUACAUUUCCCAAGUCACCAGAAUACCAAGAAUGCUCCCGCACGGAAAGCUACCCCAUGGAACACCACAGUCCAGGGCGUUCUACACAGGUGUCCACAAAUGCCCCCUGGUAGAGGGUGAGGAAAGAAAGGGCAAGACAGCUCAGACCGUCCUACCAUGCAGAACGGAUGAAGGACUGGGGUGGGGUCCCAAGCUUACGAAAGGAGAAUGACAGUGGUUGUUGGGAGGGUGAGCUGUGUCAGGGAUAGUUGAAGGAACUGGAAAUGCUUGGUCAAAAAAGACAAGACCUGGGUGUGAGAAGGGUGUAAGGUGUGAGAGAGAAGAUAGGAAGUCUUUUCAUAUUUUUGAAAAGUUGUUCCAUAAAGGCAAAAGGAAAUGUGUUUUAUGUGGCACUAAAGGGCAGACCCAAGACUGAUGAGUGAAAAGUCCAAGGAAGCCAGAUUGGAUUUACAUGAGAAAAAAGCCUCUAGCAUUGUGGUUUUCAGUGAUGACAAUCCUGCUCCCAAGGGAGCAUUUUGGAAAUUUAUAGGUGCUUUUUUUUAUUUUUUUCUUUUGAUAUAGUCACGCCUGAGCAUUUAUUUACAGGUUAAAAUACACAUUUUUAUCAUAAGUGUCUCUCCUGUUCCUUCUCCUUUGUAUUACAAUUAAGGCAACAUAUUCACUUUUUUAAAAUGAAGUGUUAUCUAUAAAUUUCAUUUUAGAAUAGAAAAGAAGUUAUGUUAUGAAAAGUGGCUUACAAUGGGAGAAGGGUGACAAACCAAAUGGAUCACAGACAAAUCUGCCCUGUAAGCAUUUUGUCAGGUUUCUUUUGAGCAGAGUGAUAAAUCUAACCAAGAUCAGGUCCUAUCUGGGUAUCCCGCAUCCAGGAUCAAGAUCUUCUAUCUCAGGAACACCAUUUUUAGGUUUACAGAAAAAUUGAUCAGAAGGUGCAAGGAGUUCCCACAUCCGCCCUCCUUCCAUCUCUCUACUGUUGAUCACGCCUGUAGCUGUGCCUGUCUGCUUCCCGGAAGCAGCUAAUAAAACCACUAAGAUGCACCGACCUCGAGCUUUUCAGGUCCAUCAAACUUCACAAAAAACAAUACUUAGAAGAACUCAGGUUACAAACAUCUAGUCGCUGCUUUUCUGACUCAGACUUCGAAGCCAGCUGUGCCCACAUGAAAUUCCACUCGUGCUUCCUGGACCUGAGGUGCCAUCGCUACAGGAACAAGAUUUGACAUCCCUGUCGGGCUCACUUCUCCCCUAUCCUGAGUUUAGUGUAGUGGAGUUGAAGAAGAGGACGUGGAAGAGAUGGUUCUAUGAAUUGGUCUGCCUGGUAUAGUACCAGCAACACCUAGAGGUGGACUCCACUAUGAAAAAUGUUUUUAUUUUUCUCAAGGUGCAUAACAUUACCCCAAAGCUCAUGAGCCUUGGUUUGGGGAGGCAAGUAGGUAAAGAGGAUGCCUUUGUCAGGUGCUCUAUAUCUUCUUAGUGCUUCUCCAGGUCAGUAUAGUUUCCUCUCUGAACAUUCCCAAGUGGGCUUAAAAUCCAUCAAACCCGUCAUGCGAGCUGACUGUAAUUGAGCCAAUGACAGCAAAGAUUUUCCUCACCGCUGUGCAUAAGGAGCUCUCCUCCUUCUAUGCUUCCACUGUAUCAUGGAGGUGCCAGUGCAGAGCAAGCCCAAAGGCGGAGAGUAGAAAAGGGGAAUUUAAAUGCUGAUGAAUCCUCACUUGUUCUCUGUAAAUGACAGUUCACAGAACAGAAUUCUCCAGGGCCAAUCUUUCUACUAAUAUGGUGGCUGGCUCCAAGACCAAGUAGUUGGCAUAGCUGGUCCCUGGACACUAAGUGUGGCACUUUCUCCCAGAUACUUUCAUGCCCUGCAAGCAAAAUCCCCAGGUGCACACAUGUGACUGAUGUGAGAAAUAGUUAUCUAGUUUCUAGAGACCCUGAGGACAGCCAGAUGAGGUCCAAAAGCCUCAAGGACAGAGCAACUGAAGUUGCCUUCUACCUAUGCUCUCUGGGCUGAGAGCCAGGCUUCCCCAGGCCUUGUUCUGUCCAGUGCCGAAUUUAAAUCAUGAUGAUGGCUACAAUUUAUUGGGUCCAGAGCCCAGGUUAGGUGGUUUUAUCUUGUCUUUGAAAUUAUUCCUGUUUUUCCAAUGAGAAAAUUGAGUGUCAACUGGGUUAAUCCAUUGAUCUCCCUCUAAAACCUGCUGCUGCCCUGCUGGCCAUGUUACAGCCAACAGGAGUUUGCUCUUCUCUGUGCUCCAUCUAAGAGUGGAGGAGAAGCUCCCAUGGGAGACCAGGCCCAGAAGUUGAGCCAAGACUACCUCAUGUGCUUUCUGCUCUAGGAGUUGGAGCAGAGGUGACUAAGUGCAUGGAACCAAGACUCACAUUAUCCUACACCAGGAAGGCCAGGCAUGGCAGGAACAUUGCAAUGAGGUGCCCAAAAUCUACAAAGCUUGAGCUCCAAGUACUGACAGUAUAUAUUUUACACAAUUGAUUUCUUUCUUCCCUAUGACUUUCUCAGAUGUGACAUUGUGUCUCUUUCCCCAGAAACCCUCUUCUGCCACUCCUGUCAGCAGGGGAGUGACCAGCCCCUGUUGAUUCUUUGUGCACUUUACAGAAGUUAUCCUCUCUACUGUAUCUUUGCUUCAUGGUGGCAGAUUGGGGGUGAUGUUGUCAUGGCCACAGACACUCCAGGAGUGCCUCUGCUGCCCCCAACUUUUGCCCAAAUAGUACAUUGGCCAAAGUGUUUCUCAGGGCAUUGAAAAUCUACUCUUUUUGCCCUUCGUUAUGCUAUACCAGUGAAGGGAUGUUGGUGAUUAGUGGGAUGAAUCCAUAUCUGCAGCUGAGUGGGGCAAGAGAUUUCACAUAAAUGAUUCUCUAAUUCCCACCCAUCUACAAUGGCCUCAGCUCAGAUGGCCGAGCUGGCCUUGGAACCCAAAUCAGCCUGGGUCACAGCUCAUUGCUCCCUGAUGCUGCCUCCUAUUUCUGGAACUUUCUCUUUUUUGCAGUCACUUUCUCCUGUGACUAUCCUACAAAUGCCCUCCCACCUUCCCACCCCUACCUAGCAUGGUGUUUACCAUUGCUCAGCUCUUCUCAAACUUCAGAAACAUACAGAAAAUGUGGGGCUCAUACCUCAGUUUAAGGGAAAGUUUAAAGCUGUCACUUUCUGUGAUCACUUGGUGUCAACACAGUUAUGAACUUAGAAGCAAAUGUGGGCACUAAAAUUAAAUGGCAGUGCUUGGUUAUAACGUAGCCACAGAUACAGUCCAAAAUCAGAUUAUAUUAGGUUUUUUAAAAUAUUAAAAUAUUAACAUA